UACGUAGGGUGCAAGCGUUACUCGGAAUUACUGGGCGUAAAGCGUGCGCAGGCGGCUAUGCAAGACAGAUGUGAAAUCCCCGGGCUUAACCUGGGAACUGCAUUUGUGACUGGCGGGCUAGAGUAUGGCAGAGGGGGGUAGAAUUCCACGUGUAGCAGUGAAAUGCGUAGAUAUGCGGAGGAACACCGAUGGCGAAGGCAAUCCCCUGGACCUGUACUGACGCUCAUGCACGAAAGCGUGGGGAGCAAACAGG
rnacentral:rRNA from 1 species